rnacentral:rRNA from 1 species
AGGGAAUCUUCCACAAUGGACGCAAGUCUGAUGGAGCAACGCCGCGUGAGUGAAGAAGGGUUUCGGCUCGUAAAGCUCUGUUGUUAAAGAAGAACGUGGGUAAGAGUAACUGUUUACCCAGUGACGGUAUUUAACCAGAAAGCCACGGCUAACUACGUGCCAGCAGCCGCGGUAAUACGUAGGUGGCAAGCGUUAUCCGGAUUUAUUGGGCGUAAAGCGAGCGCAGGCGGUCUUUUAAGUCUAAUGUGAAAGCCUUCGGCUCAACCGAAGAAGUGCAUUGGAAACUGGGAGGCUUGAGUGCAGAAGAGGACAGUGGAACUCCAUGUGUAGCGGUGAAAUGCGUAGAGAUAUGGAAGAACACCAGUGGCGAAGGCGGCUGUCUGGUCUGCAACUGACGCUGAGGCUCGAAAGCAUGGGUAGCGAAC